UGGCCUCAAAUCAGGUAGGAUUACCCGCUGAACUUAAGCA
rnacentral:rRNA from 1 species